GCAGGAAGGAGGGCGAGCGCAGUGUUGCCGGCUGCGAGGGGCCGCCCGCGCUGCUCGGAGGGGGUCGCCCGUGCGCCUGGGGCCAUGGCCCUGAGCAGGAGGGAAGUAUUCAUAGGGAAAGUACUGAAACGACUCUAUGGUGAAACUGCAUCUUCUCUUGUGCAUACUUCAAGUAGAGAAGAGGAGGCGGUUCUCGGAAAUCUGGGCUCAAAAUCCGAAGAAAAUAAUUUGGAUAAUGUUCAGGCUUCAUCAGCACAUGAUGCUAGCACAUCAACUGAUACACCCUGUGAAUCAUUUCAAGUGGCAUCGUACUGUGAAAAUGGGACAGAUGGAUCCAGGAGUGGUGACAAUACAGUUACGUCUUCAAGGAGAAAGUACACAGUGAAUCUUCCUCCAGAGGGUUACACUGUAGUUACUCCAGAUGCUAUUAGGAGUUCAGUUUCUGAAAACUCAGGUGGUAGCGGUGACUCAACAGAGGAGGAAUAUCAAGGACAAACCAAGAGAAAGCGCAUUCGCAGGAAGAAACAAAAGAGCAGUUUGCAAAACUGUAAUAAUUUACAUGGAGAACAAACAGAAUCUGGAAUGCAAGAGACUCUUGUUCAAGAUAAUUUACAGCUGCAUCAGAUAGACAGUCCCAAACUAAGCAAAAACAAGAAGAGGAAAAUGAAAAAGAAACGACAGAAAGAAAAAAUGAGAGCAGCUGGCUUGAUAUCAAAAACUACCGGUGUGGAUUUUGCAUAUCAGCCUGACAAAAACAACAGAGAAGAAGCAGCAGGCUUAAAAGACACAGAUGAAAAGGCAGAUAGCAUUCUGGACUUCCUGCAGGCAACCCAAAAAAUUUAUUUUGCUGACAAUAAAUCAGAAUGCACGGAUUCAGCUGUAAAUUGUGCAGCUGCCCAAGAGGUUUUACAAUGUCUUGAAUCUCGCACCAUUUCUUCCUCAGAUGUGACUCUUCUACAUCAGUUGAAAUCCCUUGUAUUGCUGCAGGAUAUUGAGAGAUUGAAGGAUGCUUUGAAACAAUUCCAAGAACAAUCCAUGAUGCCUUCUGCAAUAAUGUCAAACUGAAGAGAGAAAACAGAAGCAAAUUAGAAACAAAUCCAUACAACUGCCCUAAUUUUCUGAGAUCAUACCAAGAUAGUCACGUCUCUGUUUCACUACUGGAUUACAGACAUCCUUCCUGUGAAGAACAGGAAAUAAAGCUUUGCCUGUGUCCAUAUGCACAGGGUUAAAACUUAAUGUAAAAACUCUUAACCAAGUAGCAAUUUUUCAGGAAGAGCAGUGUCAAUACACAUUCUACACCUUCAGGGUCUGAAAUUUUGCAAAGACUCAGAAAUCAUGAUUGCUUCUCUCCGGAGAAUGACACCUGGGUAUAUAAGGUUGUUGCAGACUCAAGCUGCAGGAAAAAUCGUUACCAACUCGUCAGACACCUUGCUGCAACGGGCAGCGGUGCUACUGGGAAUGUUUGGGAUCAGUAUAUCCAGCUACAGCACACACCAGCUAACUCAAAAGAGACUUCCCUUGACCCUUCAAGCUGCAUUGGGAUGUGACCCAAGAAGUAAAGGCUUACAUCAGUAGUGCUGAUGCGUGGCUUUUCUGCCUCAGUAACUGGUGUGGAGGUAAUGAGACACUUUGCAGCUGUGAUUUCUACAGGCAAAGUUAAAAAGAUGGACGAAUUACAGACUUCUUCAAGAAAGAAAAAAAACAAUGACUAACAGAGGCAUCAGUUUUCCAAAGACAAACCGUCUAUAAAUACAAUGGACUUUCUUUGUUAUCCCGUGUAUACAUUGAGAGAGAUCUAAAGGUAUAAAAUACAGUUAAAAUCAGAGUAGGUGUAAACAGAUCGAUGAGGGUGCCAUGCUUCGUUAGUGUCACCUUGUUGCAGCUUUUGCAGAUUUACUGUGCAAACACUGGUUUUGAAAAGGAAAAGUUAGAAGCAAUAUAUUCCUUAUGAGAAGAGUUAGACUGGUUUGUGCUGUUAUAUCUAACUAGAUAUGUGCAUUUGUGUGUAUUACAGAAUUUGUGCACCCUAAUUUUUCCUACUGAAUCUUAAACAUUUCUUGAUGCCUUUUGUGUAAAAAUCUUUGUGUAUUUUAACACAAGCUGGUUACCUUCUGCCACAGCAGAUAUGGCCACAGGCUACGCCAUCCAUAUGAUGUUGGGAAGGAACUGUGGCAGCAGGCCAGAUAACUUCAUAAUUGUGUACAGAAACUCUCUACUCUAGAAAGUAUCAGUAAAAAUACUGGGUUGGGUUUCAUUGCAGAGUUCAGUAUCUGAUUGUAUGCCUCUGCGAAGCCCACUCAUCCCGUAAUGUAGAUUGUGAUUAAAAUAAAAAUAGAGAUUGACCUUUUUUCCCCUCCUUUUCCCUUGUUUUCUUGUUCUUCUCACUCAGUGCAAUAGCUUAUUCAGGAAUGUUUUCUUACUAUCGGUUUGCAUUUUUCCAACUGUUUCUGAUGUUUUAUCUAAACAUGGCUUUGUAGGCUCUUCUGUGCAUGUUAGCGUUUCAAAUCCUUUGUUCUCAGUUACUAAAUACAAAUACUAUUUUGGGGGUUUUUUUCCAUGUUUAAAA